AGUGAACGCUGGCGGUAGGCCUAACACAUGCAAGUCGAACGGCAGCACAGUAAGAGCUUGCUCUUACGGGUGGCGAGUGGCGGACGGGUGAGGAAUACAUCGGAAUCUACUUUUUCGUGGGGGAUAACGUAGGGAAACUUACGCUAAUACCGCAUACGACCUACGGGUGAAAGCAGGGGAUCUUCGGACCUUGCGCGAUUGAAUGAGCCGAGGUCGGAUUAGCUAGUUGGCGGGGUAAAGGCCCACCAAGGCGACGAUCCGUAGCUGGUCUGAGAGGAUGAUCAGCCACACUGGAACUGAGACACGGUCCAGACUCCUACGGGAGGCAGCCGUGGGGAAUAUUGGACAAUGGGCGCAAGCCUGAUCCAGCCAUACCGCGUGGGUGAAGAAGGCCUUCGGGUUGUAAAGCCCUUUUGUUGGGAAAGAAAAGCAGCAGGUUAAUACCCCGCUGUUCUGACGGUACCCAAAGAGUAAGCACCGGCUAACUUCGUG
rnacentral:rRNA from 1 species